UACAGAGGGUGCAAACGUUGUUCGGAUUUACUGGGCGUAAAGCGCGUGUAGGCUGCUUCGCAAGUCGGAUGUGAAAGCCCUGGGCUCAACCCAGGAAGUGCAUUCGAAACUGCAGAGCUGGAGUCCUGGAGAGGAAGGCGGAAUUCUCGGUGUAGAGGUGAAAUUCGUAGAUAUCGAGAGGAACACCGGUGGCGAAGGCGGCCUUCUGGACGAGUGGACUG
rnacentral:rRNA from 1 species